rnacentral:lncRNA from 10 species
CUCUCUGCAACCUCUGCCUCCAGGGUUCAAGUGAUUCUCCUGCCUCAGCCUCCCUAGUAGCAGGUACUACAGGGUGAGAGGAUGAAUCAAGGCUGGCCAGACACAUUCAGAGGAUGUGCCUAUGUUCUGGAAACUUUGAAAACUACUCCUUUCACAUACUAGAAGCAUGGAAGAUCCAGCUGCCCUCUAAGGCCUCAAGUCAAUCGUCCCUUAUCCACCAAAAUGACUAAAUACCAUCUGACACUUUCCUUCUCUCCUGCUUGAGUCUGAAGACACAUUUGGAGUCUCUUGCCACCAGCAGAAUGACAACCCUUGUAGGUCUGUCGGGAAACCUGCAAGAAACCUGAGAUGGGAAAAGGUCAAGAACUGAAAACCAAUUGAAAAACCAUAUUGUGAGCAAACUUCUGUCUAAGGAGAAGGGAGAAAAAGGGAGGGCCGUGACCAGGGACAGACAGGAGCAAAGGCACCCCCAGCUCCCUCAAUUCCAGAGUGCUUGGGCAUCCUGCAGCAAUCUAGGAGCUCUUUGAUUGCCUCUUUUAAAUCUGCGUCAAGUGAUGCUGAGAACAUAUAUUCUUUGCUGAUAAAUGUUUCCCCUUUGAGCCUGGGGCCUACUUAACAGGUAUUUACUGGGACACGUGCAUGGAAAGAUGUGGAAGAUACAUUUUAGAUUUAGAUUGAAGGAGAGAAAGAGUCAUCGCCUAUAUUCCUAUCACUCACAUUCCAUCUAUCCACGUUCAUACAUAAAUCAUGGAGGAUACGCAGCUCCAGAGCCACCUUGCAUCAAAAUGGAGUCAGAUUAAAGGGUUCACCAGGUAGCACUAUAUACCUCAUUUAUGUGCCCUUAAAAAACUUAGGGAGAUUCAUUCAAGUAUGGUAUGGCUUAAAAUGACCAAGUAAAAUCUGAACCACAUGCUUUCAUUUAAAUACAGAUGGUCAGGUUUUGUUUAUGUAUACAGAGCCAACUGCUUAUACAAAGCAGUGCCCUAUACAUAUAAACCAGCAAAGCCAUUUUAGAACCCAGAGUUUGAAAGAGUCUAUAUAAAUGUAAAUUACCAACCAAAGGGAGCAUAAAAUCUAUGGAUGUGAAAACGAGGCUACUAUCUUUCCUCAUCCAGCUCCCAUUGGCCAGCAUGGGCUCACACAGUGUUCUUUCAUUUGGGGAGUCUCUGGAGCAUGGAUUUAGCUGGGUUUCUGUGCCAGCGCUUCAGCUGGCAGUGAUUGGGUGACCUGUGUUUCCUCGGUGGUUGUUUGUCAUUGUCAGGGGGGCUUCCAGAUUUUACAGAGUCACUGAGGUCUUCACACAUCUGACUUGUCAUCCCAGCACUAUUUUGAUCCCUUGGAUUCUCCAGCAGGCAUCUUCCAGGAAAAUUCUGGGAGUGUCUUGGCCCAAUAUUUCAGUCUAAUGGCUAGGAGUAAGCUAGCUUUAUCCAAGGCCAGAGCUGAGCUCUAGUUGGGGAUAAAAUGCUACUGAAAGCUGUAUUAACUCUUGUACGCCACUAAUGUGUUUCAUUUGGGACCCUGCAGUAGCCAUUCACUAAAUGGGAUUCUGAGGCAUGAAAAAAGCUAAAGUGAGCUGCUCCCAACUUGUCAUUCUCAACAAGGGAGGAUGUGGCUCACAAUGGGGGAGGGGAUUGGUUGAAUAAGAGGGAAUGUCUGCAGACUGCUUGGAGAUCCACGCAGGAAGAACCCAGAGAAGAGCAAUCUAGCUAAAUGAAAUUGUUUUCUUUCUUUCCAACCACGGUAUAUUAAUUGGGCACAAAUCGGUCCACUUAAUGCCAAUUGACAUGAAGCAAUUUCCCAUUUGAUGGCAAUUGAAAACCCAUGCUUGCUGCCCCAAACCUGCUUGAUUGUUCCAAACAGAUUUCCCAUCCUAAAGUGGAAAUGGAUUUAAUUUGAUCUCUUCAGUCUGUUCGCCAUUAUGUGUGAAACAGUGGUAUUAGUAGCCAGGAAAUCAGCAGCUACCUGAGCAGUGGAGUGUUCAAAAUGGAGGCAUUCCAGCUGCUAGUGAAAAUUCAAAGGAAAGAGUCAUGCUAUAGUUGUGAUGGCUAGAGACCUGGGAUAGCAUAGCUGUUCUUUGUUGUUGUUGCAGCUGUCUCAUUGUUUUGAUUUGUCUUUUUCUUUUUUUUUUCUUUGCUGUUUCCUUAAGACUAGAGAAGCUUAAAGCUAAGGAGAGUCCUAGACAGCUACCUUGUCCAGUUGUCACUUCAAUGAGGAAACCCAGGCCUAACGAAGUUUUGUGACCUGCCUCAAUAAUAAUCUGCCCACUCUUUCUCACUCCUAUGUCUUUUUUAUUCUCAUGCAUUCCUUGCUCUCACUUCCAAGAAUUCUAGCUCAGAGCUCUAUCAGUGGAGAGGUAAUGGAAAGAAUAUAUGGUCUUAUAACUGAAAGUCUUGAGUUCAAGGGAUGUACCUGAGUCAUGUGACUUCUCAGGGCUUUGGUUCCCUUAUCAAUGAAAAGGAAAUACAGAUCCAUGCUUCCCAGUGUUUUUGCAACAAUCGAAUGAAAUAACUUAUGUAAAAGCAGUUUACAAAUUACACAGGAUCAUGAGAUGUAAAACAUUAUCCUACCAAAGCCCAAAGCCCCUCCUAGACAGGAGACAGGCCAAAUGGGUCAAAGGUUGGAAGCCAGGCAAGAAACAAGCUUUGAUCAAGUGACUGUAAGAAUCACGAGAGUACCAGUAGUACUCUCCACUCAUACCUCAAAUCAGAGAAAGAUUAGGGAUUAAAAAGCUGAAAAUAUUUGCAGAUGUUUGGCAUGGCUGUGGUUAGCCUUUUGACUUUUGGAACAAAUAACAUCUAGUGAUAUUUGUUUCACUUGUUUUUCUUUUAACUAAGUUGUCAGCCUAUUAUUUGAAAACUUUUUCCAUUCUAAAGCUCUAUUUUGUACAGAGAUAUCUAAUCACUUAUCUGAACAAAGAUGCAAACAUGGCCAUAUGGCCUUUGCCCUGUCAGAGAAAUCAGUGAAAUCAGAAAAAUCAGAGAGGCUUAUCCUAUAUUCUACUGGUAAUAUACCCAAGUGUUUUAUAAAAGUGUUUAUAGAAAUAUGUGCCCUUGGUGUUUUCACAAGUACAAGCAUAAAUGAAACAAGAUAUAGGCAGAUCAUCAUAGAUGAAGCUCUGGGCUAGGAGACACAAAGUGUUGCUUCCUGGUAGCUGUGUGACCUAGGGCAAGUCACUUCACCUCUCUGAGCUUCUGAGAGAUGAACAGGGGUACAAAAUGGGGAUAUGACAAUAUCAACCCCAGGAUUAAGCGAGAUGACAUCAUCCAGGUCUCAGCUCAAAUACCGCCUGUUCAGAGAGGCUAUAGUGCAUGCUGUGGUGGGUCACACAGAUCCCCCCUAUGAGGACUGAAGCAUCAUUUGCCUAGCUGCUGUGAGUGUUGGAAGCUGGAUCCCCUUCAUAGAUUGCCCUAAGCUGCCCAUCUCGCCCAAAAUCUUCCCACCAAAGGCAGCACACAUACAAUAGUGGCAAAUAAGAGGGUCUAAAGGCCAACUCCCCAGCCCCAACUCAAGAUACACUGUAGGACUACCCCAGCUUCAAGGCUUUCUGUGGUGUUGGAGGCUGAGGUUUUGCUGUGACUAUGUAAUAGCCCAACUUCUGUUUCUGCCCAAUCCUAUUUCCUGUACAUAUGCUCCUAGACUUAUAACAGGGUUACAUCCUGAUAAACUCAUCACAAGUUGAAAAUAUCAAGUUAAAAAUGCAUUUAAUACUCCUAACCUACCAAACAUCAUAGCUUAGCCCAGCCUACCUUAAACAUGCUCAGAACGCUUACAUUAGCCUAUGGUCGGGCAAAAACAUGUAACACAAAGCCUAUUUUAUAACAAGGUGUUGAAUAUCUCAUGUAAUUUAUUGAAUACUACACUGAAAGUGAGAAACAGAAUGGUUGCAUGUGCACUCGUAGUGCAGUUUCUACUGAAUAUAUAUCACUUUCACACCAUCUUAAAGUCAAAAAAUUGUUAAGUUUAGCCAUCUUUUUUUUUUAAUGGGUAAUUUUCUUUUUUUUAUUAUUAUUAUACUUUAAGUUUUAGGGUACAUGUGCACAAUGUGCAGGUUAGUUACAUAUGUAUACAUGUGCCAUGCUGGUGUGCUGCACCCAUUAACUCAUCAUUUAGCAUUAGGUAUAUCUCCUAAAGCUAUCCCUCCCCCCUCCCCCCACGCCACAACAGUCCCCAGAGUGUGAUGUUCCCCUUCCUGUGUCCAUGUGUUCUCAUUGUUCGAUUCCCACCUAUGAGUGAGAAUAUGCGGUGUUUGGUUUUUUGUUCUUGUGAUAGUUUACUGAGAAUGAUGAUUUCCAAUUUCAUCCAUGUCCCUACAAAGGACAUGAACUCAUCAUUUUUUAUGGCUACAUAGUAUUCCAUGGUGUAUAUGUGCCACAUUUUCUUAAUCCAGUCUAUCUUUGUUGGACAUUUGGGUUGGUUCCAAGUCUUUGCUGUUGUGAAUAGUGCCACAAUAAACAUACGUGUGCAUGUGUCUUUAUAGCAGCAUGAUUUAUAGUCCUUUGGGUAUAUACCCAGUAAUGGGAUGGCUGGGUCAAAUGGUAUUUCUAGUUCUAGAUCCCUGAGGAAUCGCCACACUGACUUCCACAAGGGUUAAACUAGUUUACAGUCCCACCAACAGUGUAAAAGUGUUCCUAUUUCUCCACAUCCUCUCCAG